GAUGAACGCUGGCGGCGUGCCUAAUACAUGCAAGUCGAGCGAACAGACGAGGAGCUUGCUCCUCUGACGUUAGCGGCGGACGGGUGAGUAACACGUGGAUAACCUACCUAUAAGACUGGGAUAACUUCGGGAAACCGGAGCUAAUACCGGAUAAUAUAUUGAACCGCAUGGUUCAAUAGUGAAAGACGGUUUUGCUGUCACUUAUAGAUGGAUCCGCGCCGCAUUAGCUAGUUGGUAAGGUAACGGCUUACCAAGGCAACGAUGCGUAGCCGACCUGAGAGGGUGGUCGGCCACACGGGAACUGAGACACGGUCCAGACUCCUACGGGAGGCAGCAGUAGGGAAUCUUCCGCAAUGGGCGAAAGCUUGACGGAGCAACGCCGCGUGAGUGAUGAAGGUCUUCGGAUCGUAAAACUCUGUUAUUAGGGAAGAACAAAUGUGUAAGUAACUAUGCACGUCUUGACGGUACCUAAUCAGAAAGCCACGGCUAACUACGUG
rnacentral:rRNA from 1 species